rnacentral:lncRNA from 1 species
AUGUUGCUUGGCAAAUGUCCAUUUAUCACGAAUGAAUGCGUUGGGGGGAGGAGUCGGAUUCCCCUCUGUAGCGAGCAUAAGCAGCAUGGAGAAAAUAUCAACUGCAUACUCCUUUGCGUCCGGUCUCCUUUCUCAAAACUCAUUGGAGGAAAAGGUCAGAAGGGCUUUUUCCAUCCAAUGGUGUUUGAGAAGGAGACCAGGGGCACGCAGUUGAGUUCUUCCCAGGGUACUAAUUAUUGGCAAACGCUGAUGCUGAGGCAGCAGAGCCCAAGAGGAGAUCUGAGAGAUUGGUAAAU